AGUGAACGCUGGCGGUAGGCCUAACACAUGCAAGUCGAACGGCAGCACAGUAAGAGCUUGCUCUUACGGGUGGCGAGUGGCGGACGGGUGAGGAAUACAUCGGAAUCUACUUUUUCGUGGGGGAUAACGUAGGGAAACUUACGCUAAUACCGCAUACGACCUACGGGUGAAAGCAGGGGAUCUUCGGACCUUGCGCGAUUGAAUGAGCCGAUGUCGGAUUAGCUAGUUGGCGGGGUAAAGGCCCACCAAGGCGACGAUCCGUAGCUGGUCUGAGAGGAUGAUCAGCCACACUGGAACUGAGACACGGUCCAGACUCCUACGGGAGGCAGCAGUGGGGAAUAUUGGACAAUGGGCGCAAGCCUGAUCCAGCCAUACCGCGUGGGUGAAGAAGGCCUUCGGGUUGUAAAGCCGUUUUGUUGGGAAAGAAAAGCAGCAGGUUAAUACCCCGCUGUUCUGACGGUACCGAAAGAAUAAGCACCGGCUAACUUCGUG
rnacentral:rRNA from 1 species